UCCCGUUUAGCUCAGUGGUAGAGCGCUUCACUAGUAAUUAAUGAUUGGGCUCAGCUCAAACUGUUCUAUGAAGAGGUCAGUCGUUCAAGUCGGCUAAUGGGAA